CCCUCGCAUCUCCAAGCAUCUGGUCACAGCCCCGGCCUCCCUGCCAGGUCUCCAGGCAGGCGCUGGGCAAAGGAAAGGAGGCAGGGGACAGUGGGUAGACCUUCCCCAGCCCGGAGAGACCCCUCACUCCGCCUUGGCCUCAGUGAAUCAGGGAGUGCUCCUGACCUGGUGGGCUGCUGCUCCAUUCUGCCUGAAGCUCAGCGCCUUGGAGUCACUACCUUGGGCCACUUGCAUUGUCGACUAUUGAUUGGCCCCGCAAAAGAGGCCUCACCUUGCAGGAAGCAGGCCUGGCACCAGUGUGGAGGCAGGUGCUUUGCUUCUUCCCAGGCCAGGUGGGGCCCCUCUGCUGAGCCCCACCCCAGGGCACAACUGCCAGGCUGCCCGUGAAGCCGCUGGCGUUGGCCUCAGCUCAAAACCUGCAAAAAUGAACUAUCAUCCUUGAAGCGGCGCCCCUCCUUUCCUAACCUGCCAGAGACUCCAGUGGCCAUGACCCCAUGCAAGCCCAGCAUUCUGAUGGGAGGGGGGGCAGGCUCCCUGAGAGCCAUCUGAAGGGAAAGCGGCUGAGCCACGGAUUGGCAGAGCUAGGAAGAGGAAGGUAGGGGACCAUGGGGACCGGGAAGCAGAAAGAUGAGGGUACCUGGGGGACCAAGCAGCGUCACGGCCCUUCAUGCUGGGUGCGCGUGCACAAUGACAUAGUCAAACCCGCAACCUCCACUGACUCCAA
rnacentral:lncRNA from 1 species